UUGUUCCUACGGGGGGCAGCAGUGAGGAAUAUUGGUCAAUGGCCGGAAGGCUGAACCAGCCAAGCCGCGUGAAGGACGAAGGUGCCAAGCAUUGUAAACUUCUUUUGUCAAGGGACAAAAUCAGGCUCGAGGGCCUGACCGAGGGUACUUGAAGAAAAAGCAUCGGCUAACUCCGUGCCAGCAGCCGCGGUAAUACGGAGGAUGCGAGCGUUAUCCGGAUUUAUUGGGUUUAAAGGGUGCGCAGGCGGGAGAUCAAGUCAGCGGUAAAAUGUCGGGGCUCAACCCCGGCCGGCCGUUGAAACUGG
rnacentral:rRNA from 1 species